rnacentral:lncRNA from 10 species
AGAGAGAAGGCAGCCCGGUCCCCCUCAGUGGAAGGGAGUGGCGGUGGGCGGAGGGUGUUGAGGGGACGGUGCCAGCGGCUUGCGGGAAGCCGGGCGAUGCGGCAGAUGCCCAAAGGAUGAUAGUAAGCUUACUGUGACAUAACUCCCGGAGCCGCAGCACGAGCCUUGUGAACCUUGGAAGCCCGUUUUCCGCGCAGUCACUAACUCGCUUAGUCACCCUGUGUAAAAGUUAUUCUGGGAUGACACCUGCCUGGGAAGUCUCACCUUUCCCCCCACCUCCUCCUGUCUGCGUAUUGUUCUGUAGCACCCCGUGCGCACCUUGAUUGUAGCGCUUAAGGUGUCCGUUUUAUUUACUAGACAGGGAUUGAACCAUUGUGUCCCAACCACCUAGAACCUGGGUCAUAGUGUAAAGCUUAAUCAAUGUAAUAUAAAUGGGGGAAUUAAAUUCAUAAUUGUUUAAUGUUUAAGUUUUGUCUUAAAUUUUAAAAGUAAAUGUUGGGGAUGGAGGGGAGGGACAGAGGGAGUCUAAAGACACCAGUAAUUAAUGAGUUUUUAUAAAAUAAGUAGUGUUGGCCGGGCGCAGUGGCUCAUGCCUAUAAUCCCAGCACUUUGGGAGGCUGAGGCUGGCGGAUCACCUGAGGUGAGGAGUUGGAGACCAGCCUGGCCAACGUGGUGAAACCCUGUCUCUACUAAAAAUACAAAAAUUAGCCCGGCGAGGUGGCAGGCGCCUGUAAUAAAUCCCAGCUACUCAGGAGGCUAAGGCAGGAGAAUCUCUUGAACCCAGGAGGUAGAGGUUGCAGUGAGCCAAGAUGGUGGUAUUGCACUCCAGCCUGGGUGACAAGAGCGAAACUCCAUCCAAAAAAAGAAAAAACAUAGUGUUGGGGGACAAUUCUCCAUGGGUCACCUGCACUUUCCCGUGUUUUGUGAGCAGAGACACUGACUGCCUUUGUUCUGGAGUACUAUGAUAGCUGGUAUUUUUUAAGAUGUGAUUAACAGUUAAAUUAGACUUGAGUAAAGCAGUUGGUCCUCCACAAGGUGGGUUGGCCUCAUCCCGUCAAGGGAAGGUCAUAAGAGAAAAGACUAAGGUCCUCUGAGGAAGAAGGAAUCCUGCCCCCAGACUGCCUUCAGCUCUUUCCUGGGUCUCUAACUUGACCUACAAAUUUUAGGCUUGCCAGCAUUAUAAAUAAAGUUUUGGUGCCGCAAAAGAAAUAGCACUCAACUAUAAAAUUUUCUUUUUUCCUUCUCAGCAAGGCAAUUUACUUCUAUAGAAGGGUGCGCCCUCACAGAUGGAGCAAUGGUGAGCACACACCUGGACAAGGGAGGCGAAGGGGUUUUUAUUCCUGACGCUUGUGGCACCUGCUGCUGUGUCCUUCCCCUGUUGGCUAAGGUUAGACGGCACAGGCUAAACUAAUUCUGAUUGACUAAUUUAAAGAGAGUGACCGGGUAAGUGGUUUGGUGGGAAAAAUAGUUAUGGCAGAGCAGGAAAUCGGAAUGAGUCAGGGUGGAGAAUGAGUCAGGGCAGAGCAGGUAAUCAGAAUGAGUCAGGGUGGAGCAGGUAGUUGAAAAAGAUUGCUUUACGAGGAAGUUAAGCUUUUUUUGUUUUGUUUUGUUUUUUUUAAUUGAGACAGAGUCUCGCUCUAUAGCCUAGACUGGAGUGCAGUGGCGGCAUCUCGGCUCACUGCAAGCUCUGCCUCCUGGGUUUGCUCCAUUCUCCUGCCUAAGCCUCCCGAGUAGCUGGGACUACAGGUGCCCGCCACCACACCCGGCUUAUUUUUUGUAUUUUUAGUAGAGAUGGAUUUCACCGUGUUAGGAUGGCCUCCAUCUCCUGACUUCAUGAUCUUCCCGCCUCGGCCUCCUGGGAUUACAGGUGUGAGCCACCGCAUCUGGCCAGAAGUUAAGUUUAAAAGUAGAAGACAAAGAAUUGAACAUACUGACAUUGAUUCUUCGAAGAGAAAUUUAGAACUCAUAUCUAACACCAGCCUCCAAUUGAUUGAGCCAAUUCCUUCAAAUAAAUCUCUCUCUGCAAUAUGCAUCCUAUUGGAUCUGUUUCUGUAGGGAAUUCUGAUUAAUAUACCCUUUCAAGGAACAGCUUUGGAAGAUUAAGAUAAUUGUCUGCUUCUGGAACAAAAGACAGGUUUGUUGCUGUUCAGUUUAAUAAAGAGAGUGUCACCUUCUGGGGCAAAGGCUGAGCAUGUUGGCUUGCAGUUCACUGUUCAAGACUGGGCUUUCCUAAACUUGGUGUACCUGGGCGGUAAAACCAAUCACAUGUGCAGCAUCCACCUGGACUGUCCCCAUGGGACUUGGAAGGGAAAGGGGAACCGAAGGGAAUAUGAAGCCCAGGCUACUGGCUGUGCUGUGAAAAAUAAAGCCCUUUCUCUCUGACUCAGGUGUUUUCUGCCAUCAUUUGUGGAGCUGUUAGAUGAGCUUGUUAGCUUGCAAGUAGGGUAAAAUCUAACAUGAUUCUGAAUAGUAUCUAGCCAUACUAUACCCAGCUCAUAGCAGUUGUUCCAAGAAAUAUUUGUUGAAUUAAUUAGUGAAUACCGGGGAGCCUUAUUUCAA